ACGGAGACUCCCGGGUCAAGGCCCCAAGGAGGGGCGGAGGAGGGGCCAGGACCCCCAGGGGUGCUGACUCUUGGGUAAACAGGCACAGGGGUGGAGUUAACUCUGUGGAAGUGGGGUGGGGGGUUAGGGAGGACGCAGUGUCCCGGGCUGGGACCCAAGAGACCCUGUGGCUUCAGGGCUAACCCGUUCGAGUCUGGCUCAGAGAAGGAGGGAGAGGCCAGCUCAGCCCAGCCCAGGCGAUGGUUUCUCAGGGACUGCUGCUGUCUCUCAGGGCCUGGGUGGGUGUGAUGGCCUGGAUCCCUCAAUCACCCUGCUCUCUCCCCACCCAUAUGCACCCUCCCUGUGCCCCUCAGGGAAAAGUCACCCAGAAUGUGAUAGUUAUGAGGCUAAAGGGAUUCAAAGUUGUCUUACACAAAAGGAAACAGACUGGAUUUCUCCCCACCUACACCCUUUCCAGGUUCCCUUCCCCCAGAGGUCCCCACCCCAUCCUCCUUCAGCCUGGUUCCUGAGUUGCCAUUUCAGGGGCUGGGCACCAGGCCAGUUGGGAACAAUGGCCAAUGGAACUGGAGCUGCCAACUGCAACACCAGCUCAGACUGCCCCCCCCAAGACCCCUAAAUUGCCUUCCCCCUCCUGCCUGGGAACCACCCCCCACAACCACCCUCACCACCCCCUCCCAUCCAAGGAACAUCAAUGCCCCUUUCAUCCCCACUUGGCAGGGUCUAUUGGAAAGGAGGGGCCAAGAGGGAGGAGGUGACCCAGGGUAGAUCCCGACUAAUCAAAUCCAGCUUUUAACAACCCCAAACCUAAAGGAUUCCCUCUAGGUCCCCCAAUUUGGGGCACCCAAGUUUUCCUCCAUUCCCUUCCCCGUUCCCUUGAUAACCAUUUACCCAGAAACUGACACAGAAGCUGGGCACCCUGGCUCCUUGCCUAGUCCCCUCUCCCGUCUGAAUGCCAGUUUAACACUCUCCUGGACAAGGAAAAGCCUGCUGGAACUGGGACCAUAGAUAAAAAUGCAUAGGACAGAAGAGAGCUCUCCCAGCCCAGCUGGAACUGGGAGAGAAAAGAGAGCCUGCAGUGAGAAACUCUGCCUGCUGCCUCCUCUGAUGUAUCUAAAGUAGGUCUUACUUGGAGUGGGGGAGGGAAGGACCUGGAGGUUCCAGCAUCUAAAUUCGUCUCUGGGUCAGGAUGACUCAGGGGGAACCUGAUAAGGGGCCUACGCAGGGGCGUAGGGCAGGCAGGAGUCGGGAAAUUUCCACUGGGAUGUUUGCUUCCUAGGCUAGGGGGGUCUCAGCCUGCCACAGGCAGUAAGAGGCUGCUUCUGCUCUAAGAUGGGGUUCCUCCUUGUCAAGGCAGGUCUCAGCCUGGCCCAGUGUCAGUGGCCCAACAAGAACAUUUUCCCUAACUUCCUUCUCUUGGACCGAGAAGCAGCUUCAAACUAUACCUUCCAGUUGGCAGCAAUAAGGACCUGCUCUGUGCAAGCCACUGUAUAGAUGGAAUUCAAAGAAGUGUGAGGCUAGUCAUCUCUCUCUAGAGCUUAGGAUCCAGUAGUUGAGAGAAGAUACAAAGAUAGAAAAAGUUCAGAAUGAUGUAAUAAAAGAUUAAUUGUUUAGACAAUAAGUCCUAUAGGAAGAGUUUCCCAUCCUUUUCAAGUGGGAGAUCAGAGACUUCCAUUCCCAAAUGAUGAUUUUAGAAUCCCCUGAUGGAGCCCAACUGUGAAUUCGGCAAAUACUUUCAGUCCUCCCCUCCCCUCCUCCCUCACCCCCAAGUCUCCCCCCUUACUGUCCUCCCCCACCUCCAAUUGACCAUGGCAUCAGAAGCAGAAAGAACAUUCCAGCGGUUUGCUGUCUUUGGAGAAUCAUCAAGCAGUGGCACUGAAAUGAACAACAAGAACUUCUCCAAGCUGUGCAAAGACUGUGGCAUCAUGGAUGGCAAGAUGGUCACCUCCACUGACGUGGACAUCGUUUUCAGCAAAGUCAAGGCCAAGAAUGCCCGAACCAUCACAUUCCAACAGUUCCAGGAAGCGAUGAAGGAACUGGGCCAGAAGCGAUUCAAGGGCAAAAGCCCAGAUGAAGCCCUGGAGAACAUUUAUAAGCUCAUGGAGGGCAAGGACCCAGCUACCACCGGUGUUACUAAAGCGACCACGGUGGGCGGGGUGAGCCGGCUGACGGACACCAGCAAGUACACUGGCACCCACAAGGAGCGAUUUGACGAGAGUGGCAAGGGGAAAGGCAUCGCGGGACGGGAAGACGUGACUGACAACUCAGGCUACAAAUUCCAGACGACUGUCCAAGGGGCAUGUAAGACAUAAUGGAUCUUUGGGCAAUACCAGCUUUCUUGCCUGCCCCGGACAUAGGACAUCAGACCAUUGCAGUAACCUUGGAAACCUUUGGCGUAGUCAACCUUGGGAUAGUCAACGUGUAAGCUUGCAGGAUCUGCUUCCUGACCAGGGAUUGAACUCAGGCCAUGGCAAUGAAAGUCUGGACUCCUAGUCACUAGGCCACCAGGGAACUGUCUCUAUUCCUCUGCUUAGAACCCUCCUCGGCUCCCGCUGUAUACACAGCAAAAUGUGUCUGCAUGCUCAGCUUCUCAGUCAUGUUCAACUCUUUGCAACCCCAUGGACUGUAACCUGCCAGGCUCUUCUGUUCAUGGAAACUUCCAAGCAAGAAUACUGGAGCAGGUUGCCAUUUCCGGGGGAUCUUCCCAGCA